rnacentral:rRNA from 1 species
UGCGUAGGCGGAAUUUUAAGUCAGUGGUGAAAUCCUGCAGCUCAACUGUAGAACUGCCAUUGAUACUGAUAUUCUUGAAUUUAGUUGAGGUGGGCGGAACGUGUAAUGUAGCGGUGAAAUGCUUAGAUAUUACACAGAACACCGAUUGCGAAGGCAGCUCACUAAACUAAUAUUGACGCUGAGGCACGAAAGCGUGGGUAGCGAACAGGAUUAGAUACCCUGGUAGUC